AACGAACGCUGGCGGCAUGCCUAACACAUGCAAGUCGAACGAGGCCUUCGGGUCUAGUGGCGCACGGGUGCGUAACGCGUGGGAACCUGCCCUUAGGUUCGGAAUAACUCCCCGAAAGGGGUGCUAAUACCGGAUAAUGUCUUCGGACCAAAGAUUUAUCGCCUUUGGAUGGGCCCGCGUUGGAUUAGCUAGUUGGUUGGGUAAAAGCCUACCAAGGCGACGAUCCAUAGCUGGUCUGAGAGGAUGAUCAGCCACACUGGGACUGAGACACGGCCCAGACUCCUACGGGAGGCAGCAGUGGGGAAUAUUGGACAAUGGGCGAAAGCCUGAUCCAGCAAUGCCGCGUGAGUGAUGAAGGCCUUAGGGUUGUAAAGCUCUUUUACCCGGGAUGAUAAUGACAGUACCGGGAGAAUAAGCUCCGGCUAACUCCGUG
rnacentral:rRNA from 1 species